rnacentral:rRNA from 1 species
GAUGAACGCUGGCGGCGUGCCUAAUACAUGCAAGUCGAGCGAACGGACGCGAAGCUUGCUUCUCUGAUGUUAGCGGCGGACGGGUGAGUAACACGUGUAUAACCUACCUAUAAGACUGGUAUAACUUCGGGAAACCGUAUCUAAUACCGGAUAAUAUUUUGCACCGCAUGGUUCAAAAGUGAAAGACGGUCUUGCUGUCACUUAUAGAUGCAUCUGCGCUGCAUUAGCUAGUUGGUAAGGUAACGGCUUACCAAGGCAACGAUGCAUAGCCGACCUGAGAGGGUGAUCGGCCACACUGGAACUGAGACACGGUCCAGACUCCUACGGGAGGCAGCAGUAGGGAAUCUUCCGCAAUGGGCGAAAGCCUGACGGAGCAACGCCGCGUGAGUGAUGAAGGUCUUCGGAUCGUAAAACUCUGUUAUUAGGGAAGAACAUAUGUGUAAGUAACUGUGCACAUCUUGACGGUACCUAAUCAGAAAGCCACGGCUAACUACGUG